UACGUAGGUGGCAAGCGUUGUCCGGAUUUACUGGGCGUAAAGAGCGCGCAGGCGGUCGAUCAAGUCGCGUGUGAAAGCCCCCGGCUCAACUGGGGAGGGUCACGCGAUACUGAUCGACUCGAAGGCAGGAGAGGGUAGUGGAAUUCCCGGUGUAGCGGUGAAAAUGCGUAGAUAUCUGGAGGAACACCGGUGGCGAAGGCGGCAUCCUGGACCGACACUGACACUGAGGAGCGAAAGCCAAGGGAGCAAACGGGAGUUAGAAA
rnacentral:rRNA from 1 species